UGUACUGAAAUCGGGUGGUGAUAAUAAAUUUUGGCGCUGGCGAACGAGUAUUUGGUUAAGAUUUCCGUAAGAAACGUUAUCAAAAAUGCAUUUCUGGCGUGAUACUAAUUAAAAGAAUAGUACCAUUAAAUAUAAGUAUAGUUUAUAUGAACUUUCAUACAUAUUGUACUAGGUUGUGAAGAGUGGAAUAUCUAUACGGUUAUAGAGUACAUAUAGUUAAUAAUAUUAAAAGAAUACCGGAAUUUAUAACGUAUUUAAUCAUAUGUUUCAAUGAUAAAAAUGCCACCUGAAAUGUCUACUAUAAGUGCACCAACUUCGUCGAUGCCUAUAAUGCCUGCUAAUACCACGCAUUGCACUUCGCAGCAAUCGUCGCGAUCCCGUUUCAUGAUAACAGACAUUUUAGCCGGAAGUGCGGCCGCAGCUGCUUUCCAAAACGAAAACAAUAUUGGUAACCUAAACAAAAACUCUUCUCCGCACCAAAGUCUCAAGAUCAACGAAACGACUAUGCUGCAGCAAUAUGAGACACAACAAAAUCAGUAUUUGUUUCAACAACACCAGUCAUACUUGCCAAGUUCCAUGUUGGGCCAGCAAUUUUUAACGCAUUCGUCACGACUCGAUCACAAAUUGGCUACUUCAAACCGCCAAGGUAACCAUGGCACAGCUUUUGCAUCAAGUGAUGUUAUGUCUCACCUUCAUGCUAACAUGGAAAAUACCACAACUGCGUCACUAUCGAAAAGCUAUUCAUCUUUAUACCAAGUGCAACAAAAUCUGAAUAACUUUAAUAAAGACAUCGUUGAUAAGGUGGGUGAAGAUGCUGUUUGUUGCGGAAUAUAUCAAGAUGAUCUAUCCCAAUCGCCGUUGCCCGCUUCGCAAAUCGCAGCAAUAGAUUUUAGAGCUCAGGAUAAUGUUGGGAAAACCUUUGGCGCCAGUAAUUUUAUUGAUAGCAGUAUAAGUGGAGAUAAAAUAAGCACCGCGGACGAUAGUGACAGUGACACCUGUGGUGAAAAAGAUGAAGAUGCUUACAGUAGCAAAAGUGAGGGUUUAAUGAGUCUGUCAAAGAAACAACGAAAAGCACGCACAGCAUUUACGGACCAUCAAUUGCAGACUUUGGAAAAGUCAUUCGAAAGGCAAAAGUAUUUAAGUGUGCAGGACCGAAUGGAGUUAGCCAACAAACUGGAGUUGAGUGAUUGCCAAGUAAAGACAUGGUACCAAAAUCGCAGAACAAAAUGGAAACGUCAAACUGCUGUUGGGUUGGAAUUACUGGCAGAAGCCGGAAAUUACGCGGCUUUUCAGCGUCUCUACGGAAACUCUCCUUAUCUUAGCACAUGGCCGUAUGCAGUGCAGCCAGCUCAUGGCACGCCUUCCAGCACCAUAGAUUUGUUUUUCCGCCAAGCUGCUGCUGCUGCCGUGCUCCAAAAGCCAGUCUCUUAUCGAAUGUACCCUAACGUACCACCAAUAAAUGGCUUAUCAACACUUCCUGCGCCGCCUUCACCAUUUGUACAUUUUAGCGCCUCAAAUUCACUUAAUAACUAUUAUCAUGCAACUACCGUUAUGCAGAAUCCCUCGAAAAUGAAUAAUAUUUCAUUGGCAGAUAUAUCCUUUCCACAGCUAAAUGCUGAUGAGAUGGGUUGCAAAAAUACCGGCAUCGGCGAUCUCUCAGUUAGACUACCUUUGGAUUCGGGAAAUUCUUCGGAACAGGAAAGGAAAGUGAAAGUACCUGAAUUAAUUGAUGACGAUAACGACAUUGAUGAAGAUGACAUUGAAGUGUGAAGUACUUGAAAAAUGCGCACUGAAGCUAGUGCCAAGGCAGUCCGCUUAGGUGUGUGGCAAAAAAUUUAGGCAGCCCAGCGAAGCUUCGGCGCAGCUUGAAGUUUAAGGUAAGAUGCCGCUCGUGCCUCGUUGAGAACUCAUAACGCUAUUGUUGGACUGUUGCAGAGUAGACCAGAUCAUAAGACUUAAAGGAUUUCGUAUGCUGUUGGUAUCUUACUGCUGUCCAUGUUUUGGGUGUCGAGUUCACACAUACGUACAUACAUGUGUACAUAUACUUGUAUGAGUAUUUUAUUUUUUUUUUCAGAAUGAA